rnacentral:lncRNA from 1 species
UAAUAAUUUUCAGCGUGGCUCCCUUAACACUACCAAGCAGCUUAUCCAAGACUUGAAGGACAUUGACAUAGUCUAAGACAAUAUCAUUUGACUAUGCUAUUUUGGGUUCAAUUCUUAAUAUUCCUAGCACUAGGUUAUGUCCUUUCACUCCUAAGAUACUUUGAGUCUCAAGCCUAUUCUUCAUUCAUAUAAUUGAAUCCAAUAUGUUAUUUAAGCUUCUCUGGUUUUAUAUCAUGCAUGGAGUUCAUAAUAUUUUAUGAAUAAGCCAGGGUUUCUACCCAGUUGCUUGCCUCUAUAAAAUGCUUCUUAUUCAAUUUUACAUAGCUGUAUAACAUUCCAGAGUCUUACAAUAGAUCAAUGAUCUUUUUUUUUCUUUUUUGAAUAUUAGUGAUGUCUUGCAGUAUUGUUUAUCAAGCUAGUCCUCAAAAUUUACUUUCUUCUUCUGAUUGCAAAUUACUGCCAGGUGCACCUUUUUUCUGCCGCCUUCAAUGAUGCGGUAAAGGCAUUUGUUGAGAAAUUACCAUUCUCAUCACUAUGUCAAAAGCAAGUGGUACUCUAGGUGAGUAUGGAAAAUGUUAUUACUAAGUAUUAAGUAUUAACACUACUACACUAGUGUCUCUUUUAAAGCAGGUUCAAUAAACAGAAUAUAAAAUAUACAUUAUGUCAAAAAUAGGUACAAAAGAAUGAUACAGUGCAGGUGAAGUUGAUAUCAGGAGUAGACAACAAGAAGGAAAUAUAUUCUUAAACUGAUAGAAGGUGUUGUUCGCUAAUGUUACAAUGUCA